UAUUGUUGAGUGUUCAAUGUGAUUUGACUAUUUAGUUGAUAUUGUUGGAGUGUUUUCCACGCUUGUGUUGACAUUUCCUUUCUGCCUUGACAGCUGAGGGAUUCUAAUCAGAGAUGUUGUGGCCAUUUGUAUUGAUGUGAUGAAGGAGGUCUGAGAGAUGAAGACCAGUCACAUUUAUUGUUGUGAUGAAGGAGGUCUGAGAGAUGAAGACCAGUCACAUUUAUUGAUGUGAUGAAGGAGGUCUGAGAGAUGAAGACCAGUCACAUUUAUUGUUGUGAUGAAGGAGGUCUGAGAGAUGAAGACCAGUCACAUUUAUUGCUGUGUGGAGGAGGUCACACUUUCACUUCAACUCUUCUGUCAGCCUGCCAAAAAGCACCUUUGACGUCACCUUUGUCUCCGAAUAGAAAAAAAACACGCUGGUCAUCACACGUACUUGACUUUCUAGAAGAUUGGAAUCGCUGUGAGUUAGUUUGUGAGGCAAAGCUGGAAGAAAAGAAUGCAGCCUGGUGGUGGAAAACACAGAAAUAUGUUGUGGAGAUAAGUUCAGUUCCUGCUCUUUUAACAGCAUUUCACAAUUACUGGUGCACAAAAAAACAACAAUUCUAAUUCAUCCCGAUUGAUAAUUUUCAAGGAUCAAUGACAUUUUUAAAAAUGUCUUUUUAGGCCAUCUCCUUGAAACUGCUUUUGAAAACGUUUCAUUAUAAUUAUCAUACCAAACAAUACAUUGUGAAAAUCUGUUUGAACCGAAAUCGCCUCCCACCCAACAAACAAUGCACCGAUUUUUUAAUCGAUUUAAAAA